UACGUAGGGGGCUAGCGUUGUCCGGAAUCAUUGGGCGUAAAGAGCGUGUAGGCGGCCCGGUAAGUCCGCUGUGAAAGUCAAGGGCUCAACCCUUGAAUGCCGGUUGAUACUGUCGGGCUAGAGUCCGGAAGAGGCGAGUGGAAUUCCCGGUGUAGCGGUGAAAUGCGCAGAUAUCGGGAGGAACACCAAUGGCGAAGGCAGCUCGCUGGGACGGUACUGACGCUGAGACGCGAAAGCGUGGGGAGCAAACAGG
rnacentral:rRNA from 1 species